rnacentral:rRNA from 1 species
UGGGGAAUUUUGGACAAUGGGGGAAACCCUGAUCCAGCCAUCCCGCGUGUGAGAUGAAGGCCUUCGGGGUGUAAAGCACUUUUGGCAGGAAAGAAACGUCAUGGGUUAAUACCCCGUGAAACUGACGGUACCUGCAGAAUAAGCACCGGAUAACUACGUGCCAGCAGCCGCGGUAAUACGUAGGGUGCAAGCGUUAAUCGGAAUUACUGGGCGUAAAGCGUGCGCAGGCGGUUCGGAAAGAAGGAUGUGAAAUCCCAGAGCACAACUUUGGAACUGCAUUUUUAACUACCGGGCUAGAGUGUGUCAGAGAGAGGUGGAAUUCCGCGUGUAGCAGUGAAAUGCGUAGAUAUGCAGAGGAACACCGAUGGCAAAGGCAGCCUCCUGGGAUAACACUGACGCUCAUGCACGAAAGCGUGGGGUGCAAACAGG